rnacentral:rRNA from 1 species
AUUGAACGCUAGCGGCAUGCCUAACACAUGCAAGUCGAACGGAGCGGCGAAAGGGUGAGUAAUGCCUCGGAACCUGCCCGGUAGUGGGGGAUAACGCCCCGAAAGGGGCGCUAAUACCGCAUACUAUUAGAUGAGCCUAUGUCGGCUUAGCUAGUUGGGGGGGUAAAGGCUUACCAAGGCGACGAUCCGUAACUGGUUUGAGAGGACGAUCCGUCACACUGGAACUGAGACCGGGCCCAGCCUCCUACGGGAGGCAGCAGUGGGGAAUUGUUGACAAUGGGGGAAAUCCUGAUCCAGCAAUGCCGCGUGUGUGAAGAAGGUCUUCGGAGUGUAAAUCACUUUUAGUUGGGAAGCGUUACCAACAGAAUAAGCACCGGCUAACUUCGUGCCAGUAGCCGCGGUAAUUC